rnacentral:rRNA from 1 species
UCUGCAGGUGGUUUCUUAAGUCUACUGUUAAAUCUUGAGGCUCAACCUCAAAUCUGCAGUAGAAACUAGGAGACUUGAGUAUAGUAGGGGUAGAGGGAAUUUCCAGUGGAGCGGUGAAAUGCGUAGAUAUUGGAAAGAACACCAAUGGCGAAGGCACUCUACUGGGCUAUUACUGACACUCAGAGACGAAAGCUAGGGGAGCAAAUG